rnacentral:miRNA from 1 species
CUCAGUGCUCCCUGUAUAGUGCUGCUCUCUGUAUAAUCCCAAAACAGAGAGCAGCACUAUACAGGAAGCACUGACUA